rnacentral:tRNA from 1 species
GGGCGAAUAGUUCAGUGGUAGAAUGUCCGCUUCGCAUGAUACAUCUAUCUACCUUGCUUGCGGAGGGUCCUGGGUUCAAACCCCAGUUCGUCCA